UACGUAGGUGGCGAGCGUUAUCCGGAAUGAUUGGGCGUAAAGAGUUCGUAGGCGACACGUAAAGUCUGGUGUUAAAGGCAGAGGCUCAACUUCUGUACGGCACUGGAUACUUGCGAGCUAGAAUGCGGUAGAGGUAAAGGGAAUUCCUGGUGUAGCGGUGAAAUGCUUAGAUAUCAGGAGGAACAUCGGUGGCGUAAGCGCUUUACUGGGCCGUAAUUGACGCUGAGGAACGAAAGCCAGGGUAGCAAAUGGG
rnacentral:rRNA from 1 species